AAACCGACACAGGUGGGUGGGAUGAGAAUUCUAAGGCGCUUGAGAGAACUCGGCUGAAGGAACUAGGCAAAAUGGUACCGUAACUUCGGGAGAAGGUACGCCGGCUUUGGUGAUGGGAUUUACUCCCUAAGCUGAGACCGGCCGCAGAGACCAGGUGGCUGCAACUGUUUAUCAAAAACAUAGCACUGUGCAAACUCGUAAGAGGACGUAUACGGUGUGACGCCUGCCCGGUGCCGGAAGGUUAAGUGAUGGGGUGCAAGCUCCUGAUCGAAGCCCCGGUAAACGGCGGCCG
rnacentral:rRNA from 11 species